rnacentral:rRNA from 1 species
UCGAGAAUCUUCGGCAAUGGGGGCAACCCUGACCGAGCGACGCCGCGUGCGAGAUGAAGGCCUUCGGGUUGUAAAUCGCUGUCAGAGGGGAGGAAAUGCUAGGGGGUACUCCUCCUAGUUUGACCUAGCCUCAGAGGAAGGACGGGCUAAGUUCGUGCCAGCAGCCGCGGUAAGACGAACCGUCCAAACGUUAUUCGGAAUCACUGGGCUUAAAGGGUGCGUAGGCGGUCCGGAAAGUUGGGUGUGAAAGCCCUCGGCUCAACCGAGGAAUUGCGUCCAAAACUGCCGGGCUUGAGGGAGACAUAGGUGAGCGGAACCUAGGGUGGAGCGGUGAAAUGCGUUGAGAUCCUAGGGAACACCAGUAGCGAAAGCGGCUCACUGGGUCUUUUCUGACGCUGAUGCACGAAAGCUAGGGGAGCGAAGA